rnacentral:tRNA from 1 species
UCAAGAGUAGCUCAGUGGUAGAGCGGUCGGCUGUUAACCGAUUGGUCGUAGUUUCGAAUCCUACCUCUGAAGCCA